GACGUAGGGCGCGAGCGUUGUCCGGAUUUAUUGGGCGUAAAGAGCUCGUAGGCGGCUUGUCGCGUCGACUGUGAAAUCCCGCGGCUCAACUGCGGGUCUGCAGUCGAUACGGGCAGGCUAGAGUUCGGUAGGGGAGACUGGAAUUCCUGGUGUAGCGGUGAAAUGCGCAGAUAUCAGGAGGAACACGGUGGGCGAAGGCGGGGUCUCUGGGGCCGAUACUGACGCUGAGGAGCGAAAGCGUGGGGGAGCGAACAGG
rnacentral:rRNA from 1 species